ensembl:lncRNA
GAUCUGGUGAAGAUAAUGCUGUAUAAUAACAGGAUAAUGUGACAAUGUAGAAGGCUGGUUUGAGAUCUGGUGAUGAUAAUGUUGUAUAAUGACACUAUAAUGUGACAAUGUAGAAGGCCGGUUUGAGAUCUGGUGAAGAUAAUGUUGUAUAAUAACAGGAUAAUGUGGUCAAUGUAGAAGGCUGGUUUGAGAUCUGGUGAAGAUAAUGCUGUAUAAUAACAGGAUAAUAUGGUCAAUGUAGAAGGCUGGUUUGAGAUCUGGUGAAGAUAAUGUUGUAUAAUGACACUAUAAUGUGACAAUGUAGAAGGCUGGUUUGAGAUCUGGUGAAGAUAAUGUUGUAUAAUAACAGGAUAAUAUGGUCAAUGUAGAAGGCUGGUUUGAGAUCUGGUGAAGAUAAUGUUGUAUAAUGACACUAUAAUGUGACAAUGUAGAAGGCUGGUUUGAGAUCUGGUGAAGAUAAUGUUGUAUAAUAACAGGAUAAUGUGGAACAUAAACUGAUGGAACAUUUUAAUACAAAAGACACACAACAAACUAGUUGUUCCAGCUGGAACAGUCCGAUCAUGUAUAAACUACAGUCAACAGACUCAUUAAAGAGAUUCUCUGCUACUUUUUGUGUACUUUUUAGCCAGUAGUGCUGAUAGUAACACUCACAAGUCAAAAGUGGUCCCUGAAAAUGUUGUACUACAUCACAUAUGUUCACCACGUCAUCUCUCUCUCUGCUGUGGCGCGCCCUGCAACCUCAUUGGAUAACCCUGGGCUGGCUUCUUGCAAGCUGUCACUCAAAUACGAGUGGCUGAAGCUCAUGAGAUAGAACUCUAAUUGCCAGGGAAAUGGAGGGGAAAUGGCGCGGCACAGUUUCAACAAAUUGUCGCUUUCCAACUUUUUGUGGAUUUUUGAGGUAAGACAGUGAUUAUGCAUGAAUUAACUACAUACUGAAACAUCCAGCCCAAAGUGUGAGGUUGAAAACCUCAAUUACAUAAUUACCUAUCUACUAACCGCACAUUGACUCUGUACCGGUAACCCCUGUAUAUAGCCUCCACAUUGACUCUGUACCGUAACACCCUGUAUAUAGCCUCCACAUUGACUCUGUACCAGUACCCCUGUAUAUAGCCUCCACAUUGACUCUGUACCGGUAACCCCUGUAUAUAGCCUCCACAUUGACUCUGUACCGUAAUACCCUGUAUAUAGCCUCCACAUUGACUCUGUACCGUAACACCCUGUAUAUAGCCUCCACAUUGACUCUGUACCGGUACCCCCUGUAUAUAGCCUCCACAUUGACUCUGUACCGUAAUACCCUGUAUAUAGCCUCCACAUUGACUCUGACCCGUAAUACCCUGUAUAUAGCCUCCACAUUGACUCUGUACCGUAACACCCUGUAUAUAGCCUCCACAUUGACUCUGUACCGGUACCCCCUGUAUAUAGCCUCCACAUUGACUCUGUACCGUAACCCCCUGUAUAUAGCCUCCACAUUGACUCUGUACCGUAAUACCCUGUGUAUAGCCUCCACAUUGACUCUGUACCGUAAUACCCUGUAUAUAGCCUCCACAUUGACUCUGUACCGGUACCCCCUGUAUAUAGCCUCCACAUUGACUCUGUACCGUAACACCCUGUAUAUAGCCUCCACAUUGACUCUGUACCGGUACCCCCCUGUGUAUAGCCUCCACAUUGACUCUGUACCGUAAUACCCUGUGUAUAGCCUCCACAUUGACUCUGUACCGUAAUACCCUGUAUAUAGCCUCCACAUUGUCUCUGUACCGUAAUACCCUGUAUAUUGCCCCACUAUUGUUAUUUACUGCUGAUCUUUAAUGUGUUAUUCUUAUCUCUUACUUUUGUGGUAUUUUCUGCAUUGUUGGUUAAGUGCUUGUAAGUUCUACACCUGUUGUAUUCAGCAUUUCACUGUAAGGUCUACUACACCUGUUGUAUUCAGCAUUUCACUGUGAGGUCUACUACACCUGUUGUAUUCAGCAUUUCACUGUAAGGUUAUACACCUGUUGUAUUCAGCAUUUCACUGUAAGGUUCUACACCUGUUGUAUUCAGCAUUUCACUGUGAGGUCUACUACACCUGUUGUAUUCAGCAUUUCACUGUGAGGUCUACUACACCUGUUGUAUUCAGCAUUUCACUGUGAGGUCUACUACACCUGUUGUAUUCAGCAUUUCACUGUGAGGUCUACUACACCUGUUGUAUUCAGCAUUUCACUGUCAGGUCUACUACACCUGUUGUAUUCAGCAUUUCACUGUAAGGUCUACUACACCUGUUGUAUUCAGCAUUUCACUGUAAGGUCUACUACACCUGUUGUAUUCAGCAUUUCACUGUAAGUUCUACAGCUGUUGUAUUCAGCAUUUCACUGUAAGGUCUACUACACCUGUUGUAUUCAGCAUUUCACUGUAAGGUCUACUACACCUGUUGUAUUCAGCAUUUCACUGUAAGGUCUACUACACCUGUUGUAUUCAGCAUUUCACUGUAAGUUCUACAGCUGUUGUAUUCAGCAUUUCACUGUAAGGUCUACUACACCUGUUGUAUUCAGCAUUUCACUGUAAGUUCUACAGCUGUUGUAUUCAGCAUUUCACUGUAAGGUCUACUACACCUGUUGUAUUCAUCAUUCCACUGUAAGGUCUACUACACCUGUUGUAUUCAGCAUUUCACGGUAAGGUUCUACACCUGUUGUAUUCAGCAUUUCACUGUAAGGUCUACUACACCUGUUGUAUUCAGCAUUUCACUGUAAGGUCUACUACACCUGUUGUAUUCAGCAUUUCACUCUAAGGUCUACUACACCUGUUGUAUUCAGCAUUUCACUGUGAGGUCUACUACACCUGUUGUAUUCAGCAUUUCACUGUAAGGUCUACUACACCUGUUGUAUUCAGCAUUUCACUGUAAGGUUCUACACCUGUUGUAUUCAUCAUUCCACUGUAAGGUCUACUACACCUGUUGUAUUCAGCAUUUCACUGUAAGGUCUACUACACCUGUUGUAUUCAGCAUUUCACUGUGAGGUCUACUACACCUGUUGUAUUCAGCAUUUCACGGUAAGGUUCUACACCUGUUGUAUUCAGCAUUUCACUGUAAGGUCUACUACACCUGUUGUAUUCAGCAUUUCACUGUAAGGUCUACUACACCUGUUGUAUUCAGCAUUUCACUGUAAGGUCUACUACACCUGUUGUAUUCAGCAUUUCACUGUAAGGUCUACUACACCUGUUGUAUUCAGCAUUUCACUGUGAGGUCUACUACACCUGUUGUAUUCAGCAUUUCACUGUGAGGUCUACUACACCUGUUGUAUUCAGCAUUUCACUGUAAGGUCUACUACACCUGUUGUAUUCAGCAUUUCACUGUGAGGUCUACUACACCUGUUGUAUUCAGCAUUUCACUGUAAGGUCUACUACACCUGUUGUAUUCAGCAUUUCACUGUAAGGUCUACUACACCUGUUGUAUUCAGCAUUUCACUGUGAGGUCUACUACACCUGUUGUAUUCGGCAUUUCACUGUAAGGUCUACUACACCUGUUGUAUUCAGCAUUUCACUGUGAGGUCUACUACACCUGUUGUAUUCAUCAUUCCACUGUAAGGUCUACUACACCUGUUGUAUUCAGCAUUUCACUGUAAGGUCUACUACACCUGUUGUAUUCAGCAUUUCACUGUGAGGUCUACUACACCUGUUGUAUUCAGCAUUUCACUGUGAGGUCUACUACACCUGUUGUAUUCAGCAUUUCACUGUGAGGUCUACUACACCUGUUGUAUUCAGCAUUUCACGGUAAGGUCUACUACACCUGUUGUAUUCAGCAUUUCACUGUGAGGUCUACUACACCUGUUGUAUUCAGCAGUUCACUGUAAGGUCUACUACACCUGUUGUAUUCAGCAUUUCACUGUAAGGUCUACUACACCUGUUGUAUUUCAGCAUUUCACUGUGAUGUCUACUACACCUGUUGUAUUCAGCAUUUCACUGUAAGGUCUACUACACCUGUUGUAUUCAGCAUUUCACUGUGAGGUCUACUACACCUGUUGUAUUCAGCAUUUCACUGUGAGGUCUACUACACCUGUUGUAUUCAGCAUUUCACUGUAAGGUUCUACACCUGUUGUAUUCAGCAUUUCACUGUAAGGUCUACUACACCUGUUGUAUUCAGCAUUUCACUGUGAGGUCUACUACACCUGUUGUAUUCAGCAUUUCACUGUAAGGUUCUACACCUGUUGUAUUCAGCAUUUCACUGUAAGGUUCUACACCUGUUGUAUUCAGCAUUUCACUGUAAGGUCUUCUACACCUGUUGUAUUCAGCAUUUCACUGUAAGGUUCUACACCUGUUGUAUUCAGCAUUUCACUGUAAGGUCUACUACACCUGUUGUAUUCAGCAUUUCACUGUGAGGUCUACUACACCUGUUGUAUUCAGCAUUUCACUGUAAGGUCU